CGCACCGCGCAUGCGCCGCCCGGCGGGUGCGGCCCAUGCCGGCAAUGGUUGCGCGUUUGCCCUAGGAUCUACGGCAACCUAGCCGUCACGCGAUCCAAGCGAAGAAAAAAGGCUCCCUAGCAGAAAACAAAACAAGACGUUCCAGAAGGAACAUUCACUCUGUAAAACAAUGGGAGCUGGGCUAGAACAGGCCGUCAUAGGACAGCAAGAAUUCAGUAACUCUUUGGGUGAGUCACUGUGGGCUGGUAGAGUGAACAUUUGCCAGUUUGCCUGUGGCAGUAGAACACCUCUGUUUAACUUGGACACUGGAAGAUGGCUCACUGGUGGAGAAUUUAUUGUCUCAUCUAUACUAGAUCAAGGUUUGUGCAUCUGCUGACAUUUUUACCACUCUAUACUAGAUAUGCCCUGAGAAGGGUUAGAUAAUAUCAAAAUUAAGGCACCAGUGCCCUGCCUAGGCUAACAUUUUUGUUGUUGCUGCCCUGUUUUAAGUGCUUGUUGACAGGAACACAUGGUAAUGUCCUGUUUUGCCUUCCCAACAAUUUCUCAACAGCUCUCUGUGGAACUCACACCUGCAAUUUAGUUGCAUAUUCAUGCCAAAUAUAGUCCAACCUAGAUUAAUUGUCCCUCCUUGCUUUGUUUUUCUUGAGUCAUCAAGACAAUUAGUUACCCAAUUAUUGGCACCUCUACCUCUUGAGAUGCCAGGGAAUGUAAAAAAAAAAUAACAACAACAAACAACAAAUGUGACUGUUCUUGGAAGGCUCUUUAUACAUGGGCACACAAUGGUAUACACAAAAUAUCAACUCUUUCAUACUUGACAGUUAAAUCCCAGAGGGAUAGAUUACGGUAUUGAGGGGAUUGAGAGAAAUGUUUGUGAAGAUGGAGAAUGGUUUAACAGAGGUAGAGCUGUGGGCUCCAUCUGAUGUCCAGGACCUGAAGUGAGUGGGGAGGUCUAGGGUCCUGGCAGCUGCAGGCUCCAACUGCAUGCAGAGGGGAAAGGAGCCAGAAGUUGGAACCAAGAGGGGUGUACGGUCCUGGCAGCCACAGAGAAAGCCUCUUUUGCCAAAGCAGGCCAUUGAAUGUCAUACCAAGAGAAGAAACAAAACCCUUAAUUCUAUGUUACUGACAGGCAAGGCACUUAAAAAACCACCCUGUUCUGUGUGUUCUAGCAAAGAAAAGAGAGACCCUGUUCAAGAAGAAGAAAGUCAUUGACAAAGAUGGAUAGCAGAGGGUAAGUUUAAGGAAUGGAGAGACUGUGUGACUUCAGCAAAGCCUGCAAGGUAGAGGACAGCAGUGAGACUUACUCAAAAUAAGUCUCCCCUCAAGGUGGUACCAUUGGGAAUCAUUCUGUGUGUGAAUACAGAAUGUAUUUCACAGGUACUAGGAACCCAUACAGUGAUCAACAGCAUAGACUUUUCAUACUGUAAAUGAGGCCUAUGUCAGGUAUAAGAUAAGACUAUUCCAUUGGAAGUUAAAUCCAGGCAUCUUGAUCUUUAUUAAUGCAGACUAAGUCAGACAUUUUUACCAGUUGGUAGAAGGCUCUGAGUGACAAACUGAGAGGCCCCCAUUACCCAGUCAGAAUAUGACUCCAAACCAUCCUCGAAUAUGUUUAUCUAACCUUCCAAAUGAAAUAGUUAGGUUUUCUAGGCAGUGCCUCUUUCUACAGAUACACAUAAAUAUUUCUAAUGGUGUAAAAGGUUUGUGUUCUUAAGAUAAAAGAAGUUGCCAGAUUCUAUGAUAGCAAUGUCUGACUGUUCAGCGUGCCAGAAGAGCAUAGAGGGGGGGAAAACAAAUCUUGCUGAUUUUUAAAGCAAAUGGAUAUUCCUUGCUAAGUGUUUACAGGGCAAAUUUAACCCCAUACCUGUCAUGGUGGGUGUAGCUUCCAAGGAAAUAAAUAUGUAUUUUCCACAUAUAGAUUUUCUCUCCUAGUAUUUACUCUGUAAGUACAUUACUACUACAUUUUUGUGUUGUGAAGAUUCAUUGACUAGAUCCCUUUGAAGCUGAAAAAUACUAUAUAACCUGGCUUGUUGGUCUAGGGGGAUGAUUCUUGCUUUGGGUGUAAAAAGUCCUGCAUUCAAAUCCCAGACAAGCCCACUGGUCAGUCACCUGGCUGGGGUCACCUGACCCCAGAUGUCUUUCCUGCUCAUGCGGAGGGCUGUACCCGAUGAUCCUUCAGGGUCCCUUCCGAUUCUAUGGUAAGUGCCAGUUCUCAUAAUUAGUUAAAUGCUUCAUCUUGUCACCUUCAUACGUUUUGGUUCCUCCAAGAGAAGUUUUUUUAUUAAACAUAAAAAAUACCUGCAAUGGGGUCUUAGACACCUAAUGGUAUAACACAAAUAUUUGCCAAAAUGUAACACAGGCAUUCUUUUUACUCCAUUAAAAAGAAUAAAUUAAACCAAGACAUAUUUUAAGUAAGAUUAAACUGGAUUUGCGUCAUGGAAAAAGACUGAGGAAUGGAACAACACUACCAAAGUUGAUAGUCUUUCAUGAGGUCAGAGGAGAGAAUUAAACUGGCUAACUAUAAAUCAAAGAGUACCCAAGGCAUCCCUUGAUGCAGUUGAAAAUGGCUUUGUUCCAUAGUUCCCUGGAAGUGAAAGAGUUGAAAUUAAAACAGGUUUUCUGUCUCUAUCUCAUAGUUUAAUACACAGUACUUAUUUUGAAAGGUUGUUUUGUUUUUUGUUUUUUACAAAAAAAAUGGGUUUUUUACCCCAUAAAAUCUCCUGUUUUCUCAACCUCUCUCAGAUUACUCCAUGGUGUAUAACACAUGCUGAUCAGUGGUUUAUUAGUUCAACGCUGGUGGGAAAAAAAGCAUGUCAUAAACACAUGUUUGUUAACAUAAUCAUGAGAUGCAGCUACUUUUCUGUCUCUGUUGCCUCUUUUAAUUCCUUCAUGGUGAAAAAGAACCCUGGCCCAAGCUGGAAGGUCUUACCAGAGCUCAUUGGCUAUGUCAGCAGCAGCACACGCUGUUCUUAGAAAGCAUGCACAGGGCUGUGAAUGGAAAGCUGCAUAUUCCCACAAGCCUUUCAUGAGUUAUAGUUGGAAAACCUAUCUUUGAACUGAAAUUAUAACAGCUCCCUCAAACGUUAUAUUACCAUAUAUAUAAUGUGAGUGAAAUGCUUUUCUGACCAAUUGUAAAAAAACCCAAAAUAUUUGGACAAUCACUAAGGAGGUGACUAAAUGGACAGUUAUGGAGGUACCACCCUUUACAGGUGGGUGGGUGGAACACUUUAUUUUUACCCAGUCUUCCCACAGUGGUCACAUUGCCUGACCAAAUUUAUACUUGCUUUUCCAUUUCGUUCCCUUUUUAAAUCAUGCACAAUUAGACUGCCAGGAGAUCUGUUCAAAUGGCUGAAUCAUUGAGAGUGUCACAGAUGGUGGCAAGGCACUGGGGUGCACCUGCCCCUUUAAGGGUGCAAGCAGCCAGAGAGAAGGCUUGCAGGCAGCAGAGGGGGGCGGGCUGGAGAGUCACCUGACCAGCAGAGGGCCGGCUGGAGCUAUAUAAGCCCAAGGCCUCAGCUGGUGAGGCAGUUCAUCCCUGGGAGCCAUGCAGGGAGGCGAUCCUGGUAGCAGGGUUCCUGAAGUUGCAGUGAAUGGUGUUAACCACUCUGAAAUCCUGGGAGAAGGGAAAGCUUACUUGGGCAGCAAAAAACUGAGUUUUUCCAAGCAAGGAGCUUUUAUUUGUGUUACCCAUCUCAGGGAGUGUUGAGGUGUUUGUGGAGAUACUUUUAUUUAGUGCCCUGGUGGUGCAGAGAACUGGUAGUCCAGGAGAGGAUGAAAGUCAGGCCCAGCAGAGAGUGGGGCACAGCAGGAGUCCCAUGAGCACACUGAAGGGCUAAGACUUGGACCAGCAGGCCCAAGAGCUCAGAGAAGGACCACCAGUUAGACCAGAGGGUCCACAAGUCCAGGAGGGGCUGUGAGCAAGACCAGAGAGUCUGAGAGCCCAGAGAAAGGGUGGGAGUCAGAUUAGAGGGUCCCUGAGCCUAGAGCCCUAAAAAAGGAGCUGAGUAUGCGAGAACCCAGAGAAGGACUGCAUGUGGGAGCAGGGGUACUGAGGGCCCUGGGAGGGGACUGAGCAUGGGACCAAAGAGUCCAAGAGCCCAGGAGGUGGCUGCGUUUGUGACCUGAGGGUCCUGGAGCCCAGAGGCAGCCUGCACAGGUGACCAGGGGCCUGAGAGCCCAGAGACAGGGGCUCAACACAGCGAGGAGCCCAGAGAGAGGCUAUGUAGAAAGCACAUUAGAUGGCAUCAUGGAAUAGUAACACCUGGGAGGCUUGGGGAGUGGUGCAGGAGUGGGACAGAGCCACACAGUUAGUCCUUAAGGCUACAGGUGCCCUGUAGAAGCAGGCUGAGACGGCCUAUUGGAUUUACAGUCUGAGUUAAGAAAAGUGGGGGUCCAAGAGGGACCUGGUGGUGAUUUGUACCAGUGCUAGCUCACCCUAAGGCCCGAGCAGCCUCCUUUAUUUAACCUUGAAAUAAGAACAAAGUGUGGCACUCAAGUGAUUAAAGGAGGUUUACUUUAGGGACAGCUGGGGAAGAGUCGCAUAGCCACCAGGGGGCAUCACGGCUGCCCCUGUGAUGUGAACUUGCCACACAGACCAAAAAUUUUUACUGACUGUCAGCAAAUAAAGAGAGGGAGACGGCACAGUCCUAAUAGAUUCUGACUGUAAAUACCAAACAUUAAUUUUAAAGUCCAAAACAAUACUCAUUAGAUUGUAGAUAGAGGUUCAUAUUCAGAGUCUUUUCACUCAAUCUUUCAGUCUAGUUUUCCCACUUGUAGCCUGUCCUCAUUGUGACCAGUAUGGAGAAAAAACAUGGGUUUGUUUCUUUGUUGCUUCUUUAUGAGAUGUAAAAACAGGAUAAAAUAAUUUUGUCCAUUUUUUUUUUACUCUCUCUUUCUCUCCCUUUCUCUCUUUUUAAUAUUAGAAAAUUAGGUCUUGUCCACCCUGGAUGAUUCAAUGAUUACUAGAGAUUAGUGAAAUAUUGACACCACAAAAGACUGAGCACUGAACAAUAGAGGGGAAAAAAUGUAGUCAGGCCGCUUAAAAUGUCACAUAGUUUUGCUUAUUUAUUUAAUUUAAAUGCAGAAUGAACACUUGGGUCCAGUAUAGAUAGGAUUUAAAGGUGUGAUUUUGGCAUAUAUGAGUUAACGUGUGCUAAUUAGCACAAAAAGCUUAUUGUAGACAAACUGGUAUAAACUAGUAUAGCAUUACUGACUACAGUGGAGCUAUGACAAUCUAUCUUAGCAUAAGAUUUGCCCCACUGUUCAUGUGGAAGUUUGUAUAAGAAACUGACUGUUGUGUGUGGUGGGAGAGAGUAUAGGGCUGAUCACAGAUAGCUAAAUUGCAAAAAUUUCCCGUAUGAUAUAUUCAUUAGGAUUUUAUAUUGUGAUCAUUAUCUUGAGCGCACACCUCUUCUGCAGUGAAGAUACAGCACUAAUCUGGGCUAGGUCUUGACUGUAAGUGUAUUUCCACUAAUGUUUCAGUGCACAUUCCCCGCAUCUGAGUAUCUGAGACUCCACUUAGGAAACCAGGAAAUAGCACAUUUGACAUUCCUGAUAGAAUCAAAGAGAAGCAGGGCUGGAAGGGACCUCCAAAGGUCAUCUAAUGCAACCCCCUGCCUGAGGCAGGAUCAUCCCUAUCCAAACCAUCCCAUACAAUCAUCAUCUAAACCCUACAUAAAACUACCAUCCACCCUGACACAAUACAGACCUAACACCCUAACCUGCCACAGGUAAAGCAGGGGAACCAUGGCAGCUAACAUCCUGCUUCUAUGAAAUGCUGCCCAAUAUAUGCAUGUGGAUGAUAGGUACUAUAAGGCCUAGGUCCUCAGUGCGUUGACAUCUUCCCUGUGUGUAAUUGGGCUAAGGAGUUUCUAUGGUUACCUCCUUCAGCCACCCCCUGAUGUUGCCAUCUCACCUGCCACUACUUUGAUAUUUCUUCUUUUGAUAUAGGAGUUGGUUCCCUGGGGAGAAUUGCCUUGGACCACCCAGCAAGAUUGCUUUAUGGAGGUCCUCCUCCCCUACAUCCCAUCCUCACCACACCCUUGGUCAUCAAUUCCAGAGUGAAUCACUCAGGGGUAACCCUUUAUCCUGGGAUGGGGUUGUUCUGUCACCUGACUUCGGGGUUGAAGAAACUGAAUCUGGUAGCUUUCUAGUCCAACCCCGAAGCUAGUUCUAAGAAGCGCCACUGCCCUUAAGUCCAAAACCCCUGUCAGGGUCUGCCUUUCAAGUUCAGAAAAAGAAAGAACCCUUAAACAAGGCAAGGAACAAAAAUGGAAAAGCAAAAAAAGCCCCCUAGAGACAGUCCCUUAAGGCUCUGUAGAGCAGUUCUACCCCCAGGUGGGGGCUGAGCCCGUUGGGUCUUCCCAUUCCCUUUUCCAGCACCUACUUAUAGGUGCCAGCUUCUCAUCUGCUACUCCCUUUUUGGUUGAGCUCCCUGCAGUGGAGCUUCUUCAAGCAAUGGUCCUCCACCCACCUGUACCUUAUUCCCAGUGCCUCUGUUCUGCCGGACACACUGCAGACAGGUGUUGAGAGUCUUGUGGCAUCUCAGGCUUCCUGAUGCUGUAGUCUCUUGUUGGUUGCCCCUCUCCAGGACCCAGAAGCACCAAGCCUCCCAUCAGUCCAAAGCAAGUACUUGCUCUGGAAAUGCGGCGUGCCACCUCACGUACCUGCAGCAAUUUUCUUUCCUUCUGGGAUGAGUACAGGCCUCCAGAUGUUUCAGAAGAGCCAGGAAAUAGAACACAGAAUUUCUGUGUCCACUAAAACCCAGUUCCUCUACAUCCGAGGAUAAAGGUACAGAACAUAUGGACAAGAACUCAGCAGGAUAAGAAUGUGGUUGGGUACCCUGGUAGUAGGUGCACACAAAGCCAGUGGCAACUUCUGGUCACUGCUGAUCUUGCAAGCACAAUAACACGGCUAUAGCAAAAGCUGUUUUUUUUCACUCCUCCUUUCCCAUUGGUGCCCCGGGUAGUUACCCCUCUCACUUCACCUUAUGCCACUAAAUGAACUACCAUUAAGAGUGAAGAUCUUGAGAAAGAGAAAGGUAUAGAAGGAAAUCGAGUUAGGCUAUCCAUAAAGGAGAAAAGAGAAAGAGGAAGAAGGACCAACGUGUUAGAGAGCGUUUGGGUAAAAAUAAAACUGGUGCAGGGGGUUGUGUAAAAAGGAAGAGGAAGACAAAAAGGCUUAUGCAGGAAAACAGGAGAGAGAGAAAACAGAACAGAUGGGAGGGAGAGAUUGAAUUUAAAAAAAACAAAGAAAUAAUUUAAUUUAUUCCCCAAAGAUCAAGACAUCACAAUAAAGUGGCUUAAAUUCCUAAAUACUUUUUCAACAUGUCAUUUUCAUAUUAAGCAGUUAUUGCAGUUGUCAUGAGUUGUCUCCUUUAGGAGGAGGUAUACUUUGAUGCUAUUCUUUUAUUUACAACAGAUAUACACAAAGUUCUGCUUCCCUGAACAUAGUAGGAUCUAACAAUAGAGAAUAAUUUAUUUGCUAACUGGUCCAAGCCCCUUUCCUGUCAGCAGUGUACUCCAAAGCUUUCUCUUAUUCAUUUUUUUUCAAGGUAAUAUUACAAGUGUUUUCCAGGCUGUCUCUAGGGCUUCUUCGUUGUGACGUCUCUUCUGCUUUUCUGCCACAUACAUUCAGAGCUCUCUCAAGCAAGAUUCAGUCUCUUGUGUUUGCAUUCAAACUCUUGAGUCCAUAUAGCUCAGAUUGCUUACCAGCCUUGCCUGUGGCUUGUUGGCUUGUUUUCAGCAUGACUCUCUGUUCUACAAAGGAACUAAACUGCUUUUACAGGUAUCCUUAAUGUGCCUUUUAUGCCUACCAGCUUCAAUGGAGUUUUAUCCAGACACCAGCAUAGCAUAUUUCUGGUUGUUGUGUCCAUUGUUCUGUUUCCUUUUAUUCACCUUUUUUAAAUUAUGUAUAUAAAUCUUACCCGGGGUUAAAAAAAAAAAGAAUGUGUAUCCUGUAGAGCUUUAAAGAUUUACAUUGUAAAGUUCUAGCCUACAAUGGCUUGUAUGGCUUUUAAAUGCCCGCAUCUUAGGAGUAGGCAGCUUUGAGCUUACAACUGCUAUUUAAGAAAGUUAAACAAAAAACUUUUUGACCUCUUGAUUUAGACUUUUUAAAUGGAAAAUGCAAGUGGGUAUAUGUUGAGUGUGUAUGUCUGACUCCUAAUUUUAGAACAGAAAGAAGAAAAGAUAGAUAAAGACUAGGUAAAGAGAAAGAAAGGUAGGAUAAUAUUUGGUACUAAACAACAAGGUAGAAUUCUUGUUGACAUACAUCUGUCAAAUGUAUAAUAAACCUGAACUAUGCAUAUAAAGCAGUUAGGCAUCUCUCGGAAGGCUGAUGAGAAUAAUGAACUGCUCAAGCUUUGCUGCCAUAUCCUUAAGGGCAAGGGUUUCAAAUGUAGGGCCCAUGCAGCUCUGACAAGAACCAGGAAUUUGGGGGACAGGAUGAGCAGGGAUGGGGUCUGCUGCUAAAAUCUGAGGUACAGACUGGGGACAUGUGGGUGGUGGGAGGUGAGCAAUGAUUGCUUUAUUAACCCCCACAGCCACUGCUGCAUCUUGAUCUAGCCCAUAAGGAACCCCACAGUCUGAAUUCAGCAAGGACCAGGUGAGUUUGAUAUCCCUGCUUUAGUGUUACCACAGCCAGUUAGUGUAAUUAAGGUCUUAUAACAGUUUUCCUUCUUUUCCUCUACUUUUCUCUCCUAUUCCUUUACUUCUACUUUCUCCCUGGAUGUUUUGUUCUUGUACUAUUUUCCUCUCUUUCAUCUCUGACUUUAUCUUUGAGAUCCUGUCUGAGAAGGUGCUGUGCUCACAGACCAUCAAAGUAUGUCACGCCUGUGUCUUCCCUGCCCACCCUGAUGCAAUUUGGAGUUGUCACCUAGUGGCAGCAACACAACAGCAAGCCCUCCUGGCCUAGUACACUGUGUACAAGCUACCUAUCACCAAGAGAACUGGCAACUUCCAGCGGCAGCUACUGCAUGGGGCUCUGGCCACAGGCACUUUUUAGACCUGGCAAUGCUAGUGGCCUGCCCUUUCUGCAAGAAGGAUGUGGAAGAAACUGUCUUUCAUACCUUCUUGGAUUGCUCCCGGCUGCAGCUGCUCUUUACUGCUCUCAGCACCUUCUUUGGCGUGCUGGACUUGGACUUCUCUGAGACUGUGUACGUCUUCUCUAUCCUGUAAUUAGCAGCUAAGUGGUUCAUGCUUGGCCCCUGGGAGGGUGAAAUACAUUUGCACUUUCAUCACUUGAUUUUAGUAUUUGUGUAAUAAAGAUUUUAAAAGU